rnacentral:misc_RNA from 1 species
ACAUUAUUUGAUUAAGUAUAUGAUGAAAUAAUCUAAGUUACAUCAUUGUUUUAGGAAUGAAAUAAUAUUCAUAAAUUCUUACAACAACUUGUGUAGUGGGUAGGCCAUACUUGUUUUGAAAAAACCAAAUACUUUUUUUCUGAAAUUGUGCAUGUGAAUGCAUUAAUAAUAAAUAGAUAAAAUUUGAAGUUGAUCAAGUCACACUUCCCUAGCAUAUUGGUCAAUGAAGUAUUUGUUUAUUUCCUUCUAGAUAGUGCAA